rnacentral:tRNA from 1 species
AGGCGCGUAGCUCAGCUGGCAGAGCGCUACCCCGACACGGUAGAAGUCGUUGGUUCAAGUCCAAUCGCGCCUACCA